AGGAAAUUGGGACCAGAUUGAUUAGUUCUAAGCCCUUUCCUGUCUCUUUUAUCUUCCAGUGACCCUAAAAUGAUCACUUUCAUCCACCAGGAGUCUCACCACAGCUUCAAAGGCAUCAGGACCAUGUGUGGAAAUCUGCAAGCUCACAGGCCACAGCAAAGUUUUUCUGUUUCUUAGAUUGAGAUCCUUGGAGUAUUUGUCACAAUAACAUAAAACUAACUAGCACCAUCUCUCUGGUCACCUCUCUCUUAAGUUUGGUGACAACUCACACUUUCAAAGGUGCUGAUUCAUGAAUGAAGAUAUGCUUCACUGCCACUUUCAACCUAAUUUAUAUCAGCUCAUCGAAGUGCAGGUGUCACAUGAGAGAGAGAGGCAGUAUAAGGGAAACACCAGGGGCACAAAGCAGGAUGGACACCAAGAGCUUUUCUGCACUGACUCUCCUGUUUUCCUUCAUCUUUUUCCUGGGACAAUCAAAGAUCUCUAGUGGCCUCCCAGAAAUCGGUGUGACAAAGGCAGAUGUUGUCUAUCAAGGAGAAGCACCUGUAACCUUUGUGAAGUCACAAAAUUUGUGUAAACCUGAUUCAGUAGCCACUGCAUUCAAUGAGGAGUUCCUAAUACUUCAUGCAACUUUGUAUGCUCAGUUCACAAAAUUCAAUCAAUAAUUAUGUGCAAACAUCAGACUUCAUUUGAAAACAGAAUGGUCUAUGAUCCACUGGAAAUGAAAGAGACUUAUCAUGCCUUGGUCUCUUAAGUAUUAACAACAUCUUUCUUCUGCAGUUGAUCUUCAUGUCAAACAUUAUAGGAAAGAGAACUGUGCCUUAUUAAUCACAGCCCUCCCUGAAUUGCUUCCAUAUAUAAAUUCUGCCCUUUGUGUUGACAAUUAUAUUUGCUAUUAUGAUACUGUGAGGCAGAUAGUACUUGGAAGCUCUCAGGUGGUCUUGGUGUUUUUGUUGAAAUUUAAUAACUAUCUUCAGGUAAAUGAUAAAUGUCACACUGGGUUGAAGAACUACCUAGUUGAAUACAAUACUGUCCUUCCUGAAGGGAAUUCCUUGCAGAAGACAGACGGUGCCUGAGUGACCCUGAAUGUGCUUUAUUGCAUAGUAUUUUUAGUGACUGCAACUGAGAUACUAAGACAAGGUCAACCAGAAAAAUACUUUUUAUAAUAAAAUUUUGUUUUGUCAUUUUGGUUAGUGUCA
rnacentral:lncRNA from 1 species